UUCGUGCUUUUAGGUCAAAGAGAACAAAGUAGAAAGCAUCAAGAAGGACAAGAUAGCUACAGAGAAUUUGCUGCAAGAAACAAAUGAAAAACACUAAGCAGAGCUUGCAGCUCAAAAAGAAUUCUAUACAAAUGCCCUAAAUGCAGCGAAGGAGGCAGAAGCACUAGCAGAGGAGUGUGCCAACAAUGAAGCCAGAACUGUAUUGGAGAGUUGUUUAGGACAGGCUGAAGAACGUGAAGCCAUGCUAGUACAGACACUUGACGAAUUACGGCAAACCUUAAGCAGAAAGGAGCAACAGGCAGUUUUUAGAGAAGACAUGCUUUGCAGGAACAUAGAAGAUCUUCAAAAACGUUAUCAAGUGCGCUGAGCUUGUGCUGACUAUAUAGAUAUUAAAACCUUUCCUUAUACAUUUUCUUUCAGAAAUUUGUUUCAAGCAGUUCAUAGCUUGUUUUCUAGGCAAGUGAGCGUUGUUUUCCAAUAUUGUUGUUACAGUCUGAGAGGGUUUCGUUUUUUCUUUUCACUUUUUAAUACUGAGUGAGCAGGAUUAAUGUAGCAUAGACAUCCAAACGGGUUUUCACUUGGAAUAAUAUUUUCUGCUUCAGUAUAGUUAAUCAAUGAUAU